AUGAUCCACGGCAACGGCAGCACGCACGACGGCGGCCUGCUCGGCUCGGUUCCAUAUAUCUGCAUGCUGGAACCGGGCGCCCUCCAGGCGUUCGGUCAAUUGCCCAACCGGAAAGAUUGCAGCGCUGGCGUCCGAUGGCCGGGCUCCAGAUUCAGGGUAUGUUUCCUCUCAGACUCUCAGUCAGUGAUUAUCAUUUAUAUGGAUUGGACAAUACUUCAGGCUGUACCUAGUGACAUAGUAUGUUUCUGUAGUAACAAAUGCUUCAGUUUCCUAAAUAUGCACUUCCCAUUCAAGUUCUUACGAGACGCAGCAUACAAAUAG
rnacentral:rRNA from 1 species